UACGGAGGAGGCAAGCGUUAUCCGGAAUUAUUGGGCGUAAAGCGUCCGUAGGUGGCGUGUCAAGUCUGCGGUCAAAGACUGGGGCUUAACCCUGGAAAGGCCGUGGAAACUGACGAGCUAGAGUGCAGUAGGGGUAGAGGGAAUUCCUGGUGUAGCGGUGAAAUGCGCAGAUAUCAGGAGGAACACCGGUGGCGAAGGCGGUUCUCUGGGCCUGUACUGACGCUGAGGAACGAAAGCGUGGGGAGCGAACAGG
rnacentral:rRNA from 1 species